GACUCUGGAGAAGCUCUCUGCGCCGUGCGGCAUCGGGGAGUGCCGAAGGUGCAAGGCCGCAAGGCCGAAUCUCUCAGGCAAAAGGACAGAGCGU
rnacentral:ncRNA from 1 species